CCUACGGGAGGCUGCAGUGGGGAAUAUUGCACAAUGGGGGAAACCCUGAUGCAGCAACGCCGCGUGAGCGAAGAAGGCCUUCGGGUCUUAAAGCUCUGUCCUAAGGGAAGAAGCAUGACGGUACCUUAGGAGGAAGCCCCGGCUAACUACGUGCCAGCAGCCGCGGUAAUACGUAGGGGGCGAGCGUUAUCCGGAAUCACUGGGCGUGAAGGGUGCGUAGGCGGCCAAUUAAGCCAGAGGUGAAAGGCUACGGCUCAACCGUAGUAAGCCUUUGGAACUGAAUGGCUUGAGUGCAGGGGAGGAGAGUGGGAUUCCUAGUGUAGCGGUGAAAUGCGUAGAUAUUAGGGGGAACGCCAGUGGCGAAGGCGACUCUCUGGACUGUAACUGACGCUGAGGCACGAAAGCGUGGGGAGCGAACAGGAUUAGAUACCCUUGUAGUC
rnacentral:rRNA from 1 species